rnacentral:rRNA from 1 species
CAGCUAGUUGGUGGGGUAAUGGCUCACCAAGGCAACGAUCAGUAUCCGGCCUGAGAGGGCGGACGGACACACUGGGACUGAGACACGGCCCAGACUCCUACGGGAGGCAGCAGUGGGGAAUUGUUCGCAAUGGGCGCAAGCCUGACGACGCAACGCCGCGUGGAGGAUGAAGACCUUCGGGUCGUAAACUCCUUUCGAUCGAGACGAAUGGUUUUCGGGUGAAUAAUCCGGAAAAGUGACGGUACCGAGAGAAGAAGCCCCGGCUAACUCCGUGCCAGCAGCCGCGGUAAUACGGGGGGGGCAAGCGUUGUUCGGAAUUACUGGGCGUAAAGGGCUCGUAGGUGGCCAACUAAGUCAGACGUGAAAUCCCUCAGCUUAACUGGGGAACUGCGUCUGAUACUGGAUGGCUUGAGUUUGGGAGAGGGAUGCGGAAUUCCAGGUGUAGCGGUGAAAUGCGUAGAUAUCUGGAGGAACACCGGUGGCGAAGGCGGCAUCCUGGACCAACACUGACACUGAGGAGCGAAAGCCAGGGGAGCAAACGGGAUUAGAUACCCCGGUAGUCCUGGCCCUAAACGAUGAAUGCUUGGUGUGGCGGGUAUC